GACGAACGCUGGCGGCGUGCUUAACACAUGCAAGUCGAACGGAAAGGCCCUGCUUGCAGGGUACUCGAGUGGCGAACGGGUGAGUAACACGUGGGUGAUCUGCCCUGCACUUCGGGAUAAGCCUGGGAAACUGGGUCUAAUACCGGAUAGGAGCCAUUUUUAGUGUGAUGGUUGGAAAGUUUUUUCGGUGUAGGAUGAGCUCGCGGCCUAUCAGCUUGUUGGUGGGGUAAUGGCCUACCAAGGCGGCGACGGGUAGCCGGCCUGAGAGGGUGGACGGCCACAUUGGGACUGAGAUACGGCCCAGACUCCUACGGGAGGCAGCAGUGGGGAAUAUUGCACAAUGGGCGCAAGCCUGAUGCAGCGACGCCGCGGGGGGGAUGACGGCCUUCGGGUUGUAAACUCAUUUCGCUAGGGACGAAGCUUUUUGUGACGGUACCUAGAGAAGAAGCACCGGCUAACUACGUG
rnacentral:rRNA from 1 species